CCUGUGUCUCCUGCUUGGCAGUCAGAGUCUUUACCACGGAGCCAUCAGGGAAGCCCUGUCUUUGCCUAUAUCAAAUCUAAUUUAAGAUGAUUCAUUAUAGCUAUAAGAGAGGGUGUUGGGAUAUUCUCAUGGGCUUGGAUUUGAGUGUGUUAGUACAGGCUUCCUUUUAACAAAGGGGGUAAGUUCUUUGAAUAGAGAGAGUUAUAAGAGUUGGACUGGAAGUACUUGAGUGCCUACUUUCUCCCAGAGAACUCUGCACCUUCCAAGACAAAGCCUAAGGGCUCUCCUGUUCCUUGGCAAGAGAUGGGACUCAGCUUUUCCUUGUAUGUGUAAAAGGACUGAGCCAGGAUUAAAAGCCAGGGGUGGAAAGCCCCUCCUAUUUCUCUGGAUGCUCCUUUUCAAAUUUCUCCUGACUUUCCAUAAAAGUUAGUUGUUCUGCAGGCUUCUUUCCUAGCCCUGAUUCUCUUCUUAUGUUAUAUCCGUGUGUCCAAAGUCAUGUCCAGUUAUUUGGGGAACUCCAGGCUACACACAGUAAAAUACAUUCUUUUGGCCAGGAUCUCAUCUCAAAUAAUGAUUUGGAUAAUGUUCUUCAAAAAUCUCCAAGAAGGAGGUAUAGAAUGCAGCCUGUCACUAAACUUACCUCCUCCACACCCUCCUCCAAACCUGUUCCUCUUGCGAGAUUCUCUCUCUUGAAGAACAGCAUCAUCACACAUGUUUCCCAGACUACAAGCUUGGAAUUCACCCUUGAUUAUUCUGCUUCCCUUAAGCCCAGAAUGUCCUCUGGAUAAAAUUAAGAUGAUUUCUUGAUGUGGUAUCUAAUUAUUUGACAAACAUUUACAGAGCACAUUUUAUAAAAUGUCUGGCUUCGGAAGCUUAUACUCUAAUGUAAGGAAAGGACAGGAUCUACACAGAUGAAAAGCUCAAUACCAAUCUGACAUGUGUCACCAGAUAAAGAAUAUGUAUUACAGAUAACGUAGUGCUGCAAGCUCAGUGGUAAACAUCUCUGUCGGCUGAAGAGGUCAAACAAGGAGUUCAGGGAAGUACUAUUCUGUUGCUUAGAAACAGCUUUGGAGAUGGGAGAUAAUUCUAUAUGGCUGUCCAAAGAACAUUCAGACUGGAAGAUACAUAAGCAAUCAUUUGCUGAUAUUCUCAUUUUACAUCAAGGAAAUGGGACUCAGUGACACCAAAUGAUGGGUGAUAAGCUGCAUUCAUUCAGUGUGUGUUGAGCACCCACUGCAUGCAAACACAUAGCAUGUGCUACACUUCCUCAGAAGAGUAGGGCAAGGUGGGGCUGAUUGUCCAAGGGCACCUGGACCUAGUAGGCACUAAAGCUGUGUCAGAGCAUCCCCAGGGGCAGGGCUGUGACGGCCAAGCUGUAAGCUGGGUUACUGGUCCUCCCACUAACCCUUGAAAAGAAAAGAAUUAAAAUAGUUAAUCACGGGCUAGUCAUUACUGCUUUGUGAGCAGUCGGGGUGAAGGAAUUUAGCACCACCUACAGGGUCCUGUUGUCUCAUUGGAUAUCCAGGUAGGAGAUUCUGAAGCUAUCUUUACCCUAUGACGCAGCUGAAUUCUUGGGAAGUGGAAACACUGCGGCUGAUUUCAGGACAAGACACACUGGAAGGGGAGGAGAGAGUCAUCAUCGAGGAUUUUUUUUUUCCUUUUACUUGAGUUAUUCUUUAAAUGCCCCUCAAACAAGUUCAGAGUUAGAGCGCUUUCCUGGUCCACAUUCCAGUUAUAGGGAAAACAGACAUGGGGCUUUGACUCCAGAGGAAGUCUUACAGGAAAAGCUAACUGAUCAGGCAAGAAUAUGUAAAAAUAUCUUCUUGAAAAUGAAGGCACAUGCAUAGAGAAAUUAUUGAAGACAGGAAAUAAGUCACAGCUGUAGAAAAAAUAAACAGGAACUGACUUUUCAGUCCCAAGAGACUAAAGGUUUCCAAUGCUGGGCUUUCUGGAUGCCUAAUAUUAGUUUGACAUCAUCUGUGCCUGAGUUUGUGUGUGUCUCCAUUUGUCUCCAAAGACAAUCCUGAAAGUAGCCUCAUUUCCUUAGCUCCCCUGUUCAUGCCCCAAGUGUGUGCUCUCAGCACAUCUUGAAAUUAGUAUAUUUUUUCAUCUUUGCCUUUAGUUUUUUAACAAGCAAGGAGAGGCCCAAGGGGACCCAGACGGGAGCGCUCGCUGACUUGUGCAGAGUCCAGUCGGGUAGCCUGAGGCAGGUCUUCAUUAUCCUCACCCGGCCUGUCCGUGUGUGGAACAACCCGCCCCUAGAGAGGAGUUUUAAAAUAAUCAUAUGUAGUGUGAAAUGAGAUCAUAGAUACAAGAACUCCUCUUUUGAAGGUAAAAUUUUUCACCCAUAAAUGCACAGUAUUGAUCUUAUUUAUUAAUGAAUGUAUUUGAUAGUAUCUUUGUCUGGUUCCUAGCCAUAUCCAAAUGAAUUAAUUUAAAAAGAUGAUUAUGAGCAUUAUGGCUUACAGACUAACAUUGAAAUUUAAUUACUAAUAAAUGCUAGUAUAUAAACAAGUAUACACACAGAGGAGGCUGUGCCGAAACUCUCUUCUACUUCCUUCUACUGAAAGGAAUUAAAAAUUGAUGUCAUCAGGGGAUUCCCUCCCCUCCUUACUGUGUGUGAGACAAAGGAACAUAAGAAGGUGGGGGUGGGGGUACUCUUCCCUCUCCAACCUGCCGAGAAUCAAAGAGGGUAGGAACUCACAAAGGAGCCCACCCAACCCAGCAGUCACAAAUGACUUAGCAAACAUCCGUUCACUAAUCCAGUCAUGAGUGCCAGUAGUAUUGGGAGGUGACCCACUGAACAAUUUUUAAGCAGAAAGGCUAUAGUGUUUAACAUGCAACCUUAUAGUCUUGCACCAUAGGAAUUAGGAAUCCUCGGGUUUGACAUUGCUUUGUCCAGUGUGGAACAAAAUGGCACGCACACAGGCUGUAUGUAUCCCCAGCACCUACCAUAACACCUGGCACAAAGCAGGUGCUCGUAAGUAUGUGAAUGAGUAAUUACAUCAUUGCAAAACUUGUAUCUAUAUGUAUUGCACACAAUUACAAUCUUUUCAUCUCAUGCAUUCUCUGUAACCCCCUCGGGCAUCCUCUGAUUCACAUGUAUAAAAUUCUGAACUGCAUGAUGAUAGAAAGGAAGAAUCCAGGGCUGGAAGCUCUACUGUGAAAGCCAUUACAGGGUCCACUGCUUGUUCUCACCUUCCCCACCCAGAGCCAAAAUCCUGGCUCUGGGUAGUCAUCAUGCCCUACUCUACCUUUGACCCAUCUGAGGAAUUGACAGGUAUUCCUUCUCUUGUGAGACCCCACUCAACAUUCAUCAAAUACCAGCUGUACAUAUUACACCCUGCUAGGUACUGUGGGGGAGAGUGUAAAUAUAAGAUAAGGCCUAUGAUCUCAAAACUAACAUUAUAGUUAGGGAGACUCUGCAUCAUUCUUCAUUUAUUCCACAGACAUUUGAACAUAUGUUCUUUUUUUUUUAAUUGGAGUAUAAUCACUUUACAAUGUUGUAUUAGUUUCUGCUGUACAACAAAGUGGAUCAAUCAUAUGUAUAUAUGUAUAUCCCCUCCCUUUUGGACCUCAUUCUUACCACCCCACCCCCAAUCCCAUAUAUCUAGGUCAUUAUAGAGCACUGAGCUGAGCUCCUUGUGCUACACCACAGGUCCCCAUUAGGUAUCUGCUUUAUACAUGGUAGUGUAUUUAUGUCAAAUCUAAUCUCUCAUUUCAUCCCACCCUCCCCUUCCCCGACCUGUGUCUAUGCAUCCAUUCUCCACAUCUGUGUCUCUAUUCUUGCCCUGGAACUAGGUUCAUCUGUACUAUUUCUCUAGAUAUGUUCUUAGUGCUGUUGAAAGUGCCUGGGAUUCAGUGUUGAGAAGACAAAUAUCUUCCCUUCUCCCAUGAUGCUGACAUUCUAGAGGGGGAAGACAAAAAAAAAUCCCAAUCAUACAAACAGAUAAAUACAUGAUAAAAAUUCAGAUUAAGUGCUAUCAAAUUGAAAUUGGGUCACAGAGAAACUAUUUUAACUGAGAUCUUAAUGACAAGACUUGUGAGAAGACUGCUAACCAGAAGGAAGCACGGGGAUGAUGGGGAGAGAAAGGAGGCAAGGUAGGGUCAGCAGGGGCCGGCUCAUGCAGUUCUGUGUCCCUUGCUACUCAAAAUGCACUCCAUGUGGACCAGUAGCAUCAGCAUCACCAGGGAGUCUACUUAAAAUGACCCCCAAUCUCAAUUUCCCUUCUUAUACAAUCAAGGACUAUCACAUUUCAGAUGGUACACAUCUGCCUCCAAUAAAGAUCACGUCUCCAAAUCUCCCUUGCAGAUAGUUGUGGCUAUCUGACAUAAAGGGAGUGAUCAAUGUGACUUCUGGAAGUGUCCCUAAAGGACUUGCUUUUCCUGCUGUCUGGAAUACAAAUUCAAAGGCUCCUUCUCCAGCAGCUAUUUUGGACCAUGAGAUGCCUUUGAGGAUGGAAGCUACUCAAGGCCAAAUAGCAACAGAGAGCCUGCAUCCCUGCCCUGCAGAAGGUCUUACCAGCUCUGAGCUGACUACGUAUCAAACUUCUGAAUGUAAGAAAAAAAGAAACAUCCAUUUUCUUUAAGCAACUGACACUUUGGAUUUUUCUGCUACUUCCAGCUGAAUUCAGUCCUAACUAAUUCAGACUCUGUAUCAUUAUUUCUCUUAUAGAACUAUAACAUUUCCCCAACCUCUAAAUAAAAAUCAAUAAUCCAAGGAGAUACUACUGUAUUCAUCCUGUGGCUUAAAAAAACUUGUGCUAAGCCUGACCCACCCCUGCUGCUCUAUGGUCACACAUACAGCAAUACAAGCAGCAUGCUCCCAGCUGGCAGGGAGGGUGGAAACAGCAGAGGUCAGUGACAAAGGCAAGGGCACAAGGCUAAAGGUCAGUUUGAGCUCUAGAUCCUCCUCUGCUUCCCUCCUGAGGGCACUUAGGGAAAUGGACCCCUCCAGGCUGAGCUGCUAAGUCUCAAGUCUUGGUGGCAUUGCCCCCCCACCCCCCCCAAAAUGUCUAAAAUUGUCAAACAAUCAACAGAUCGCUUACUCUGUUGAAGACUUCAACCUAGACUGAUUAAACACUUCACACCAGGUCUCUAUACGUAGAAAGAGCCUUUUCUUUGAAAAAUUGGAGGACUGGCCAACUGGUUCUUUUCAAUGCAGUUCAGUAGGCAGCUCCAUCAACAGCCCCCAGAGCCACCUCUGAUAAAGACACAGUUGAAACAGUGUGCUUAAGUGCACAUGCAACCUUGGGACAUUUCCUCCGGCACCCACAUUCAGUCAGAUAAUGACCUCAGAGCUCCUUCCUUGUAGAGAUUCUGGAGCCCCUGCUGCCUGGUUCUCAGCUGCCUUUGCAGACAUUGCUUGGCACCAUGGCUCUUAGAGUUCAAUAUCUCCAUAUGUGCCAUACAGGGUAGACUUUGGUCAGAGUAAUUUAAAAGGCUCAGAAACAGCAAACUUGUAUCUCAGUUUGUAUCCCAUAGUUUCAGCCUUCCCCUCUGGGGCAGUAAAGCUGAUCUUGACCUUCGUUCACAGGAUCAGUGACAGGCAGAAUUACAAAACAUGAUGAACAUUCCAUCAAGAGCUCUUUUUUUCAGUAAUCCUGGCUGCCCAUUCAGACCACACCCCUCACAACUUUCCUUUGGGAGUAGACAUGGGGUUGGGUCUAAGAGAAUCUGCCCCAGUGGGUUCUAUGUGGGCACUGAAUUUGACCAAACUUGUUUGAUUGUUUUGAAGGAAGUAAAACCUGAGCGCUCUCCCUCAGAGUUAUUUCUGGACUGAACAGUGAACAAUCAAUACGAUCCAUAAAUAAGCACUCAGGAACCACAGGAGGCUGCUUCAGCAGGUGACUUUGAGAAGUGACACCAAGGCUACCACUGCAGUAUAGGAAGGCUCUGGAAGGAGUAUUGGGAGCAAAUAGCCAUCCCCUCCAUGCACGCUGAGGAGGAGACUAUUGCAACCUUUCUGCAUAAGGGAGCAGCCUCUUAAUCUAUUCAGGAUGGAAGGCAUUUUCCAAAUUCCACCCAUGACAACGUGAUAUUCUUGACCUAGUUUCUAUGGAGCAAGAAGCCAUUAAGAUAAACUACAUAGAUAAGCCAGAAACAGGAAGAAUUGGUGCUUAAUACACACCCACAAAAGCAGCCUAGUCCACAUCAAAAUGGGGAUCCAAUCUCCCCACUGAAGAUAAAGGUACCAGCUGAGCACAGGGAGGUUACACUUUGUUGUGUGUUUUGUUUGAGCCUUGUAUCAGAAGUUAUCUCACAUCAGAGACUUGAUGCAAACCUUAAAUCAUGCUGAAUAUAAGAUUUCUGUUGAAGGCUGUAAAAUAAAUCUAAUGCACAUCAAUGAAUAAGUCAUGUAGUUUUUCUGGAAGGGGUAUCAUUAGUAGGACUAACAUUCAUAGAAUCAUAACCAUUCCCUCUAAGGAUUAAAUUUAUCACUUCAUCAAAGGCACAAUGAAUUGAAAGAGAGAGAGAGAGAAACACUAUAUAAUGAAGUCUUCCAAAACUAAAGACUUGUUGAAAAUUCACCUGGGUUGCACAGCUCUCACUCACAAGCGUUAAUUCUGUACUGUUUAUUUCAUGGGAGCAAAACAAACUGGUGGAGGGUUUCCACCAUUUAUUUAAAGAGUAGAAAAUUGUGUUGUGAUGUUUAGAUAAGACACGUGGGGGCAGCAGUGAGCUUCUGGGGAGGCUUAACAAUGGUGAUACUUCUGAACCAGAAAGUUUGACUCUAGACAUUGAUGCUGGCCAAGCUCUGUUUUAAAUCAUUUAAACCAAACAGAAACACUUUUUUUUUAAACUUUAAAUAUUAGAAAAAUUUACUCUUCCUGGUGUAUAUUUUCUGCUCCCCACGAGUGCUUAAUGUCCUUCUCAAACAUUUUAGUGACCAUUUAGGAAUUUGAUGAUCUUUUAAAGCUGAGAAACUUCCUCCUGACCAGUCCAAGUUGAAGGGUGCUGAACACGAUAUCCCAAUGCCAGGGGAAGGAAAGCAAGCUCUGGGUGGUGUGGAAGCUCAGGAGGCCCGCCUGUGUAGAGGGCCCACCAUGCCCGGUGCUGACAACAUCACAGAGCAAGCCGGUGGCGAGGGCUCCUUUUUAAAGAGGGGGAUGCGGUGGCACACCCUCUUCCUCGCCAAAGACGGCUCAUCUCAUCCCCGCCUGUCUGAAAACUGAAGACCACAGACCAGUACCGGUGCCUGGUUCGCUUUCAUGGCUGGAAGAUGUAAAUAAAGGUACUACAGCCAGUCCAUCUUCACAUCCCAGAACGGGGUGGCCGUGAGACAGACCUGGAAGCAAAGUUGCAGAUUGCAGGGGUGUUUACUGAGGGCAGGCUGGUCCUCCAAAGCGGGUGCUGGGGAGGCAGAGAGGGAGGAGAGAAGUCUGGGCUCUUCCCCACGGUGGCCCCAGAACAGCCUGGCAAGGAGCCACCAGGUCAGCCCCUCUCGCUGCACCCGACAGGAGGCCUUUGUCGGGCUGUCAGGCCGGGUUUUACUUUUAGGCUCAGCCAGGCUGCCCUCCCACUCCCGGCUUCCCCCUUACACAGCUGUUGCUUCAGCUUUCCAAAGCCCAAGCCAACAGCUGUUGUGUUUCCCGUUGCCUUUGUUUGGCAGGGCCAAGUUGGAAGCGUGAUGGUGGCUUUAAAGAGAGGGGGUGGGGAAGGUUGCAGGGACCAAGAUUCCUGCUCCCAGCAGGCCCUGCACCAGCCAGCCCUCCGUCCUCCCCUCUUGGACCUCCAAUCCACGCGUUUCUCAAUCAAGUGAUCUCAGGCCCAGAAACUCGAUGCUAUCAGGCCCAAGAAUUGGCCAGGAAAGAGCUGGACGCAGACAGGACCACUCAGAAAAGUACCUCCAAAUCCUUGCUGAACAGCCACCCUAUGCCUGGUUCUGACCAGUUCCUGGGUUAGAAGGGAAGAAGCCACAGUCCUUUCAGGGAGGUCGAGGCAUUCUCCAGCAGGACGCAGCCAAGUGCUGGUUUUAGCUCAAUAAUAGAAGAUAUGACUUCCGGGGUUUCAAAACCUAAGGUUCAACUUUUCACCUUGUGCUUUUCUUCCUGGAGCAACAACUUGCUCAGCAUAUCUCUCCCUAAAUUCCAAGACAGGCUGCUUGCUCUGCUCAGUCAAGACUGCCAACCCAAGAAACAUUUUUGAAAGAUCACAGCCAACAUCACUGCCAAGAGAAGAGGUUCUUGGCACACAAAGAACCUGGUUCAAUAUGAGAUGCCAGAUGGUGAUUUCAACUUCAGCUAAAUUCCUGCUGAAAAAAAGUGUUCGAACUGCAGAUGAGAAAAGCUUCUAUGACAAAUUUAUAAGUGCUAGAAGCUUCAGAGGGAAAUGGCAAGUGUUGAUAUAGCCCCCUCCCAACCACAUGCACACACACCAUAGAACUACUACCUGCAUCUGGUAACUAAGAUUCCUACAAAGAUGACUUUGCUUAAGAAGACUAUCAGCCCUGAUAUGAUUUUUAUUUACUAAUAUUAAACUAUAUUAAUCAAAUCC